UGGGCUGAGAUCCCACUGACGACAAGAUCCUAGAGGAGAACUUCGAGCACGGAAACGGCGACAAGCGGGACAUGAGGAACACACUCACUCUGGCCGGCAUGGGCAUUAUUGAGCACCUGAACCAUCCUUAUCUUCACCAACACAGGCGGACGCUAAGCGUUCUCUAUAGCCAUGCGAAUGACUUGGGAUCGACAACGGCAUAUGCCAAUUGAAAACAUAAGUAACUCUUCAACUAUGUGGGCCGUGUUGGUUCCAUAGACCGACCCGUGUCUAUGAGAGGCUAAUUUGAAAGUACACGGUCCGGACUCCGUCGAUCUGGCCUCCUGGACAGUUCAUGCUUCCUGAGUGAGCUUGCUCCUAUACUUUUCGGGCUCGCGACUGGCCCCUGACUCUCCAUUCUCGAUCGAGUAUUAGGCGAUAUGAACUGCCUCCGCCUCAGAGCUUUCAUAACCUCAACAAGAGCCAAAGUCAUUUCAAGGUGGUCUUCAUGUCGGGUAGUCGUCCAGGGUUUGCCGUUCAUUCCCUUUCUUCCUGGCAUCAAUUGAAGGUUGGAACUCAUCCGUAAUCCAUCUCACUCACUCGCUUGGAACUUGGGACUUCGGGACUGAAUGCAAACGCCCAACCUCAUCCAUCCAUACCCAUAUUCCCCGUAACCAGCCAUGUACACAUCCCUCACGAGCUGGCUCGCCUAGUAACAGGGAAUUUCUCCCUUGGAAACACAGGUCUUUGUGUGGCGCGUGGCUACCCGGUUCUAACCCAGUCAGAAGUCCCUCAACGUCUCAACCCGCGUCUCCCACCGCUUGAACCCAUCCAAACAUCCAUCCAAGGUGUAUGUGUAUGUUUGUACUUUCAAGCAUGGACUGAGAGGCACACACCAAAUCCACACAACGUCUGACUGACCGAGGGAUUGAAGGAAAAAGAGAGAGAGAGAGGGGGGGGAUAAAAGCGGCCUUGACAGGUGGUAACCCGCACCCCGGGAGCAACCAGUGACUUGCGGCGGAGCUUACCUGUCUUCGUCGAACCGGACGAAGGUCAACACCACCGGGGUGGUCAAGCGGGGUCCGGUGGAAGGGAUGUGUAUCACUUAGCAGCACCUGGUGAGAUGGGGGUCUCGUCAGACGUCCCUUCUUGACUUCAAUGGGUAGCGGCAGGAUGCUCGAUUCUCAAAAGCAGAUUGAGCCAGCCAAGCGGAAUGUGGAUUUUUUCUCAUUAUAUGGAGACUUUGAAGAGAUUGAGACAUCACUGACACGCCUGGGAUGAUACUAAAGACUGAUUGGAUAAGAAAAAUCCAAAGAAUUUUGAGACACUUAGAAGGGAGGGAUCCUCACGCUCCGUUCAUGUUGGUAGUCGGAUGACUAAAUAGCAACGCUGAUUCAUGGAUGCAGACUCGCCGCUCUCUUUCGUUGGCCCGACUGCGCCUGCAGAGGACGACAAAAGUGACUGUUCCAAGAAAAAAAAGAGAUUGAUUGAUCGCCCUCAACCCAUAGAUAAAAACAUAUAAUGUAGUUGGUUUUAAAGGUGCAACUUCAAAAAGGAAAUCAAAAUGAAGCAAUGCAAAUUCAUAAAAGUAUUUUUGUGGCAUAGCUUAAUUGAAAUUACGCAAUACGUUUUUAAAUACUCUGUUGUGGUUUUUUUUAAAUCUUGGCUGCUGGCCAACCCCGUCGCAACGACAGAGGCACCCCUCUAGCCAUGCCGACUACAGAGAGGGACCAUAAUCACGUGGAACUCGCCUGGAACGGAGACCCGAUCUGGGACGGUUGGACGUGAGAAGGCGAGAUGAAAAAUGGCCAGGAGGCUCUCAUCGAGGCCAGGCUCUUUACCAGAACUCCAGGGAUACCACCACAACGCGCGGUCCUAGUGGAUUAGCUAGCUAGCAAUAGUUCUUAGAUUAGAGCAAGGAUGUCUCAAUGAAGGAUGAAUUAGAGGAUUAUGGGCUAUAUGCAACAUGGGGCCUACGACAAGUAAGCGGUUAAGGCUGUGAACAAAGGUCGGGGUAAAAUCAUUUCAAACUUGUUUUAGUUUUGAAGAAAAAUGAUUUUGUUAAGGUAUCAGUCUAUCGGAGCAUGUUUAUAUUGAAAUGGAACACAAAAUUAAAGUUUUAAUGUGAAUAAAUACAAAAAUAGAGGUUA